CACGUAGGCGGCUUCCUAAGUCGGAUGUGAAAGCCCUGGGCUUAACCUGGGAACUGCAUCCGAAACUGGGUCGCUAGAGUAAGGGAGAGGGAAGCGGAAUUUCCGGUGUAGCGGUGAAAUGCGUAGAUAUCGGAAGGAACACCAGUGGCGAAGGCGGCUUCCUGGCCCAUUACUGACGCUCAGGUGCGAAAGCGUGGGGAGCAAACA
rnacentral:rRNA from 1 species